rnacentral:lncRNA from 1 species
GAGAGAAGACACAGCACGUACUGAUCUUAACGGACUAUCAACGCCCAAUUGGCAAUCCUAUGAUCAGGAAUGUUUAGGAUGUGUCUACGAAAGAAUGGUCUCAUGAAUCUAACUUCUUUAGAUUGCAUUCUCCCAAUCACAUAUUCCUUGGGCUUAUCGUUUAAGCAUAUAACAUUUAUAUGAGACGGCUCAAACAAUAAUCUUUGCCCUUGAUAUUAAACUAUAUUAGUUUAACAUGUGAAAUGUCCGUAAAGUAUCAUCAUAUGAUUGGUUUAGGGCACAUUUCCAACAAUCUCCCACUUGCACUAGAGCCAUCAGCUUGGUCAUCAGUGAUGAUACCUCUUCUGUAGUCAUGUCAUAAAUGGCUAAAUAGUAGGCCUAGACAAUGGAUAUCUAUAUGUUAUCCAUAGAAGCAACCUUGAGAAUAACGACGUCACCAUUAUACAUGAUUCUCAAUCAUGUGGUUCAGUCUCUCAUAUGAGUUCGGAUCUUGAUGAGACCUUGAUUCCCUGACUUGAGCUAUCGCCCCAUUAGUGUCAUAGUGUCAGUACACUAGAUACACUUU